AUUGAACGCUGGCGGCAGGCCUAACACAUGCAAGUAGGACGAGUGGCGGACGGGUGAGUAAUGUCUGGGAAACUGCCUGAUGGAGGGGGAUAACUACUGGAAACGGUAGCUAAUACCGCAUCCCAUCGGAUGUGCCCAGAUGGGAUUAGCUAGUAGGUGGGGUAAAGGCUCACCUAGGCGACGAUCCCUAACUGGUCUGAGAGGAUGAGCAGCAACACUGGAACUGAGACACGGUCCAGACUACUACGGGAGGCAGCAGUGGGGAAUAUUGCAAAAGGGGCGCAAGCCUGAUGCAGCCAUGCCGCGUGUAUGAAGAAGGCCUUCGGGUUGUAAAGUACUUUCAGCUGGGAGGCGUUACCCGCAGAAGAAGCACCGGCUAACUCCGUGCCAGCAGCCGCGGUAAUUC
rnacentral:rRNA from 1 species